GACGAACGCUGGCGGCGUGUUUAACACAUGCAAGUCGAACGGAAAGGCCUCUUUCGGGGGGUACUCGAGUGGCGAACGGGUGAGUAACACGUGAGUAACCUGCCCUUGACUUUGGGAUAACUUCAGGAAACUGGGGCUAAUACCGGAUAGGAGCUCCUGCUGCAUGGUGGGGGUUGGAAAGUUUCGGCGGUUGGGGAUGGACUCGCGGCUUAUCAGCUUGUUGGUGGGGUAGUGGCUUACCAAGGCUUUGACGGGUAGCCGGCCUGAGAGGGUGACCGGCCACAUUGGGACUGAGAUACGGCCCAGACUCCUACGGGAGGCAGCAGUGGGGAAUAUUGCACAAUGGGUGGAAGCCUGAUGCAGCAACGCCGUGUGCGGGAGGACGGCCUUCGGGUUGUAAACCGCUUUCGCUCAUGACGAAGCUUUGUGUGACGGUAGUGGGUAAAGAAGCACCGGCUAACUACGUG
rnacentral:rRNA from 1 species